UGUGAGCACACAGCGAAAAGGCAGCCGAGU
rnacentral:piRNA from 1 species